rnacentral:lncRNA from 1 species
GUUUGGUUUAAUUUGGCCCAGUAGUUUCAGAGAUUUUUGUAAAAGUUAACGACGACGACGGACAACGACGGACGCCGGACGCCAAGUGAUGAGAAAAGCUCACUUGGCCUUAAUUGUGGAAGAACGUUUUCCGAACAGAAAAUUUGCAUUCAAUUGAAAAAAGUUUUGAUCAACGUAGUUAUAUAUUUUUGGGUAUUUAUGAUAAUGUCCUUCACUUAAUUUCAGUUAUAAACUAGAAAAAGUCAUGUUUUUUCAAUUAAUAAUAUAUAUCAAAUAUUCAAUAAAAUAAACGCGGACCAGUUGUUGAAAAACCCGGACUGCUUCACUGCUCUCGAAAAAAAAGACCGGACAAUAUUAAACACGAAAAUUCUUCGGAUGAAUAGAAGGACACUGCGUCUUCGUUGCUCAAAACUUGUAUAUUAUUCAAAAUAAGAUGGGUAAUCAUGUAAAAAAACCUAUUUUAAUUACAAAACAGAUGUUUAUUGGCAUAAUCGUUAAAGAACAUCAGACUAAACAUAAUACCAAAUAGUUUUAAAUAUAUAAGCAUGUCAGACUAAUUUUCUAUUAUUACAAAUAUGGCAGACGGUAAAACUUAAUUUUUCAUUUGAGUUAUUUACAAAGAUUGGAAACAUAAAAUAUUCCUGUACUUUACUAUUUUUAAGCCUAUAUCUACAGAGAGACGGAAGACAUCAAAGGGUUAUCCAAACUGAUAAGUCAAAACAAAAUGAAGUAAAGCAAUAUAAGCCUGACUGAUUAAAUAAAAGCUGACAUCGUUUUUAGUUAAACUAAUGUUUUCAAUUGGAAUAUUCAUUUGUUAUUUGUCGUCUUUAUUUUGCAGACCGGUUUAGAAUAACAAAAAGAAAAUGGUUAUGUUUAGAGAUUAUUUUUCGAAAUAAUUGCCUCCAUUUAAGACCUCGGAUAUUUUACAUUUUUAGUCAUGACUGAUUUUUUUAUAUAAUGACAAUAGUUUGAUUUUAAUUUUGUCAAAACUUUCUAAAAACACCUACUUGUACGAGUUGACAAACUGAUCCUAAUGCUUUUUAUGGAACAUCAAAGUAUUUGAUCUACCAUAUAAUAUGAGUUUGUUGCCAGGCAAAAAUAGAGUUUGCACUGUGAAUAUUUCAAUGAUUAUAGAAGAAGAAGAAGAAGAAGAAGAAGAAGAAGAAGAAGAAGAAGAAGAAGAAGAAGAAGAAGAAGAAGAAGAAUUGUUUAUUAUAGUGCAACC